rnacentral:rRNA from 1 species
AUACGGAGGGUGCAAGCGUUAUUCGGAAUCACUGGGCGUAAAGGAUGCGUAGGCGGGUUGGCAAGUCAGAUGUGAAAUCCUACAGCUUAACUGUAGAACUGCAUUUGAAACUGCUAACCUAGAGUAUGGGAGGGGGAGAUGGAAUUAGUGGUGUAGGGGUAAAAUCCGUAGAUAUCACUAGGAAUACCGAAAGCGAAGGCGAUUUCCUGGAACAUAACUGACGCUAAGGCGUGAAAGCGUGGGGAGCAAACAGGAUUAGAAACCCUAGUAGUCC